rnacentral:rRNA from 1 species
UACGAAGGGUGCAAGCGUUACUCGGAAUUACUGGGCGUAAAGCGUGCGUAGGUGGUUUGUUAAGUCUGUUGUGAAAGCCCCGGGCUCAACCUGGGAAUGGCAAUGGAUACUGGCAAGCUAGAGUGCGGUAGAGGGUAGUGGAAUUCCCGGUGUAGCGGUGAAAUGCGUAGAGAUCGGGAGGAACACCAGUGGCGAAGGCGGCUACCUGGACCAGCACUGACGCUGAGGUGCGAAAGCGUGGGGAGCAAACAGG